GGCCCAAAUUUGGAGUAAAGUAGAUCAAUACGAUCAGUUGACCCUACUAAACUACUCUACUUCAAGUUUGUGCCC
rfam:Haemonchus contortus, ISE/inbred ISE, WGS project CAVP01000000 data, contig: Hcontortus_30964